UGGGGAAUUUUGGACAAUGGGGGAAACCCUGAUCCAGCCAUCCCGCGUGUGCGAUGAAGGCCUUCGGGUUGUAAAGCACUUUUGGCAGGAAAGAAACGUCAUGGGUUAAUACCCCGUGAAACUGACGGUACCUGCAGAAUAAGCACCGGCUAACUACGUGCCAGCAGCCGCUGUAAUACGUAGGGUGCAAGCGUUAAUCGGAAUUACUGGGCGUAAAGCGUGCGCAGGCGGUUCGGAAAGAAAGAUGUGAAAUCCCAGAGCUCAACUUUGGAACUGCAUUUUUAACUACCGGGCUAGAGUGUGUCAGAGGGAGGUGGAAUUCCGCGUGUAGCAGUGAAAUGCGUAGAUAUGCGGAGGAACACCGAUGGCGAAGGCAGCCUCCUGGGAUAACACUGACGCUCAUGCACGAAAGCGUGGGGAGCAAACAGG
rnacentral:rRNA from 1 species